CUGCACGCGCGUUACACUGUAUCGCAAAGCGAGCAUGCUACGUUUUUCAGGUUGAUGCCCUCUGCUUGGAAGCUUCGGUUUUCAAGUAUGACAUCUUCGCCUGCGUACCUGGACCGAAGGGUUCGGGGAAUCUUGUAAAACCGGUACGUGACUGGGAUAGAUCAUUGCAAUUAUUGGUCUUCACAGAGGAAUUACUAGUAAGGGUAUAUCAUUAAUGUACCCUGAUUACGU
rnacentral:rRNA from 1 species